UCGGUACCUUGCUUUUAUCCUGAAAAUGACUUCAUGGCCGAUCCGAAAUACCAUGAGGGAUAUUGGGUUCCCUGGAUUCAAAAUCAAGAGAUAACGGAAGAACUCAAACUUCCUUCUAACACGAAGAUAUUUAGAUAUUCAUUUCUGUCGAUUUUUCUUCUUGCGCUAUAUUGUCUUUAUUAUCGAUAUAAGAAAAAGCGUUCACACAACAUAAGUCCAUAUUAGAUAUGAAAGAGGUUGAAAUGAAGUAUUUGAGAGUUAGAGAAAUUGAGAAAAUGUUAAGAAAAAUGUAUGAAAUAUUUUUGAAAUGUGUGCGAAAGUUUGAUAUUUCAUGUGCGUGAACUAGGUUUGAAUGCAUGUAAACAACUUCAAAUA
rnacentral:lncRNA from 1 species